rnacentral:rRNA from 1 species
GACGAACGCUGGCGGCGUGCUUAACACAUGCAAGUCGAACGGAAAGGCCCUGCUUUUGUGGGGUGCUCGAGUGGCGAACGGGUGAGUAACACGUGUGUAACCUGCCCUUGACUUUGGGAUAACUUCAGGAAACUGGGGCUAAUACCGGAUAGGAGCUCCUGCUGCAUGGUGGGGGUUGGAAAGUUUCGGCGGUUGGGGAUGGACUGGCGGGUUAUCAGCUUGUUGGUGGGGUAGUGGCUUACCAAGGCUUUGACGGGUAGCCGGCCUGAGAGGGUGACCGGCGACAUUGGGACUGAGAUACGGCCCAGACUCCUACGGGACGCAGCAGUGGGGAAUAUUGCAGAAUGGGCGGAAGCCUGAUGCAGCGACGCCGCGUGCGGGAUGACGGCCUUCGGGUUGUAAACCGCUUUCGCCGGUGACGAAGCGUGAGUGACGGUAAUGGGUAAAGAAGCACCGGCUAACUACGUG